AGAGUUUGAUCCUGGCUCAGGACGAACGCUGGCGGCGUGCCUAACACAUGCAAGUCGAGCGAAGGGAGUACUACGGUACGAACUUAGCGGCGGACGGGUGAGUAACGCGUGGACAAUCUACCCUGUAGACUGGGAUAACACCUCGAAAGGGGUGCUAAUACCGGAUAACGUCGAGAAGCGGCAUCGCUUUUCGAAGAAAGGAGGGAAUCCGCUAUAGGAGGAGUCCGCGUCCCAUUAGCUAGUUGGUGAGGGUAACGGCCCACCAAGGCGACGAUGGGUAGCCGGCCUGAGAGGGUGAACGGCCACACUGGAACUGAGACACGGUCCAGACUCCUACGGGAGGCAGCAGUGGGGAAUAUUGUGCAAUGGGGGAAACCCUGACACAGCGACGCCGCGUGAGUGAAGAAGGCCUUCGGGUCGUAAAGCUCAAUAGUAUGGGAAGAAAGAAAUGACGGUACCAUACGAAAGCCCCGGCUAACUACGUGCCAGCAGCCGCGGUAAUACGUAGGGGGCGAGCGUUGUCUGGAAUUACUGGGCGUAAAGAGCACGUANGCGGCUAUAAAAGUCAGAUGUGAAAAACCUGGGCUCAGCCGAGGGUAUGCAUCUGAAACUAAAUAGCUUGAGUCAAGGAGAGGAGAGCGGAAUUCCUGGUGUAGCGGUGAAAUGCGUAGAGAUCNGAAGAAUACCAGUGGCCGAAAGCGGCUCUCUGGACUUGAACUGACGCUGAGUGCGAAAGCGUGGGGGGAGCAAACAGAUUAGAUACCCUGGUUAGUCCANNCCGUAACGNNGNNNNNUNNNGNGGGUUAGUAUANUCCGUUGCCGNGUUUAACGCAAUAGUAUCCC
rnacentral:rRNA from 1 species